GAUGAACGCUGGCGGCGUGCUUAACACAUGCAAGUCGAACGGAAAGGCUCCUGCUUGCAGGGGUACUCGAGUGGCGAACGGGUGAGUAACACGUGGGUGAUCUGCCCUGCACUUCGGGAUAAGCCUGGGAAACUGGGUCUAAUACCGGAUAGGACGAUGGUUUGGAUGCCAUUGUGGAAAGUUUUUCGGUGUGGGAUGAGCUCGCGCCCUAUCAGCUUGUUGGUGGGGUAAUGGCCUACCAAGGCGUCGACGGGUAGCCGGCCUGAGAGGGUGUACGGCCACAUUGGGACUGAGAUACGGCCCAGACUCCUACGGGAGGCAGCAGUGGGGAAUAUUGCACAAUGGGCGCAAGCCUGAUGCAGCGACGCCGCGUGGGGGAUGACGGCCUUCGGGUUGUAAACUCCUUUCGCUAGGGACGAAGCGCAAGUGACGGUACCUGGAGAAGAAGCACCGGCUAACUACGUG
rnacentral:rRNA from 1 species